CCCUAUCCGUCGUGGGCGCAGGAAAUUUGAGAGGAGCUGUCCUUAGUACGAGAGGACCGGGAUGGACGCACCGCUGGUGUACCAGUUGUCUUGCCAAAGGCAUCGCUGGGUAGCUAUGUGCGGACGGGAUAAGUGCUGAAAGCAUCUAAGCAUGAAGCCCCCCUCAAGAUGAGAUUUCCCAUAGCGCAAGCUAGUAAGAACCCUGAAAGAUGAUCAGGUUGAUAGGUCAGAGGUGGAAGCGCGGUGACGUGUGGAGCUGACUGAUACUAAUCGUUCGAGGACUUAACCAAAA
rnacentral:rRNA from 1 species